AAGCGUUGGUUAGUUAAUAAACGCCCAAUCCAAUCCAAUCCAAUCCAGUCCAGCAAAAGCAAAGCUAAAAACAAUGGCGUCAGUGUAUUGGCAUUGCUGCUAUAUCUCACCUUGUUUCAACAAGAACGGCGUAAUCGCAAAUACCAAAAGAAAGCAACCCGUACUCAGCUACAAGUACUACAGCCACCGCCCACAACAUGAACAAAAUAAUAAACCCUUUCAUGAAGAAGCACUGGAAGAAGAUGGGCAUGGCCAUGCAACUAGAUCUACUAGAAGAAGACAAAUUGUGCUUCAGGCGCCUCUUAUUUCCAUUUCUUUGCCGCAAUUAUUUAUGUCUGACUCUAAUGUACUGGCUCUCCCAGGGAAUGAUGUGCCACAAAAUUUCCGGGAGUAUACUGAUGACGUCAAUAAGUUCAGGAUUUUUAUUCCCCAAGAUUGGCAAGUGGGAGCUGGUGAACCCAAUGGAUUCAAGUCCAUUACUGCUUUCUACCCAGAAGAAGCUGCCAACUCAAAUGUCACCGUCGUCAUCACGGGGCUUGGCCCGGAUUUUACUAGAAUGGAAUCAUUCGGCAAAGUUGAAGCUUUUGCGGACACUCUGGUUAGUGGACUGGAUAGGAGCUGGCAAAGGCCUCCAGGUGUGGCAGCAAAACUCAUAGAUUGCAAAGCUGGUAAUGGCUUCUACUAUAUUGAGUACACAUUGCAAAAUCCAGGAGAAAGUCGAAAACAUUUGUUUUCUGCUAUUGGAAUGGCAUCCAAUGGUUGGUACAACAGACUAUACACUGUCACAGGACAGUUUGUGGAAGAAGAGGCAGAGAAAUAUGGUUCCAGAAUUGAGAAGGUAGUUUAAUCAAUAAUAUACAAGAAAGCUAGAACUUUUUGCAUCUUCAGGUUCUUGUGGUUCCAAUUAUAGAAUUAAGAGAAAGCAAGCCCUGCAUCUCAUUAUUUCUUUCAGAAAAAGCCCUGGCUGUAUCAUCCUUCAAAUUCAUUUGAAGCAACAAUCACAGAUUAAGAAGUCACUCCUCCCUUCAU